rnacentral:rRNA from 1 species
GAGUAAAGAUUUCGGUCGCUUUGGGAGGAGCUCGCUUACUAUCAGCUUGUUGGUAGGGUAAUGGCCUACCAAUGCUAUGACGGUUAGGGGGUGUGAGAGCAUGACCCCCAGCAUUGGCACUGAAACACUGGCCAAACACCUACGGGUGGCUGCAGUCGAGAAUCUUCCACAAUGGGGGAAACCCUGAUGGAGCGAUGCUGCGUGCGGGAUGAAGGCCUUCGGGUUGUAAACCGCUUUUGUAGGGGACGAAAUUUUUGACGGUACCCUUUCGAAUAAGAGGUUGCUAACUCUGUGCCAGCAGCAGCGGUAAUACAGAGACCUCAAGCGUUAUCCGGAUUUACUGGGCGUAAAGCGUCUGUAGGGGGUUUAUUAAGUUCCAAGUAAAAUUUCAAGGCUCAACUUUGAAUUCGCUUGGAAAACUAAUAAACUGGAGUCUAGCAGAGGUGCAUGGAACUUGUGGUGUAGGAGUGAAAUCCGUUGAUAUCACAAGGAACACCAAAGGCGAAGGCAUUGCACUGGGCUAGCACUGACCCUGAGAGACGAAAGCGUGGGGAGCAAAACGGAUUAGAUACCCGUGUAGUCCACGCCCUAAACGAUGAAUGCUAAAUGUUCGGGGAUUCGACCCCCUGGGUGUUACAGCUAACGCGUUAAGCAUUCCGCCUGGGAAGUACGGCCGCAAGGCUAAAACUCAAAGGAAUAGACGGGGAUCCGCACAAGCGGUGGAGCGUCUGGUUUAAUUCGACAGUAAGCGUGGUACCUCACCAGGGUUUGACAUCCCUUGACAGCCUUGGAAACAAGGUUUCCUUCGGGCAAGGUGACAGGUGCUGCAUGGUCGUCGUCAGUUCGUGCCGUGAGGUGUUCCGUUAAGUCGGGAAACGAACGAAACCCCUAUUGCAUGUUACAAUUUCUCAUGCAAGACUGCCCGGAUAUACUGGGAGGAAGGUGGGGAUGACGUCAGAUCUGCAUGGUCCUUAUACCCUGGGCGACACAGGCGCUACAAUGGCAGAGACAAAGGGUUGCAAAACCGCAAGGUGAAGCUAAUCCCAAAAACUUUGUCUAAGUUCGGAUUGAAGGCUGCAAUUCGCCUUCAUGAAGCUGGAAUCGCUAGUAAUCGUGAAUCAGCCACGUCACGGUGAAUAUGUUCCCGGAUCUUGUACUCACCGCCCGUCACACCAAGAGAGUUGGUAGC